UGGGGAAUAUUGGACAAUGGGCGAAAGCCUGAUCCAGCCAUGCCGCGUGUGUGAAGAAGGUCUUCGGAUUGUAAAGCACUUUAAGUUGGGAGGAAGGGCAGUAAGCGAAUACCUUGCUGUUUUGACGUUACCGGCAGAAUAAGCACCGGCUAACUCUGUGCCAGCAGCCGCGGUAAUACAGAGGGUGCAAGCGUUAAUCGGAAUUACUGGGCGUAAAGCGCGCGUAGGUGGUUCGUUAAGUUGAAUGUGAAAGCCCCGGGCUCAACCUGGGAACUGCAUCCAAAACUGGCGAGCUAGAGUAGGGCAGAGGGUGGUGGAAUUUCCUGUGUAGCGGUGAAAUGCGUAGAUAUAGGAAGGAACACCAGUGGCGAAGGCGACCACCUGGGCUCAUACUGACACUGAGGUGCGAAAGCGUGGGGAGCAAACAGG
rnacentral:rRNA from 1 species